UCUUUCUUCCCCCCCCCCCCCGUUUUUUCCAUCUUCUUUCUCACAGAUCCUGAUCUAUUCUUUCAAAAAUACAAAUUAGGGUUUCUUCGUUUUUUCUCUUUCCCCCUUUUUAAGGAUCGUCUUUUCCUCAUAUUCUUCUUCCUCUUUGUUUGGUUUAGCUUAGAUUUGACUCUACUGUUUUCGGAUUCAACUGCAUUUUCUACUUCGUUAUUGGUUUGAUUCUACUUUGAUGAUUUUCAUGUGUUUUUAAUUUGUUUGUGUUUUUACUGAUUUUUGAUUGAUUGGGGUUUAUUUUCGUCAUUGAUUUUUGUUGUUAAUUUAGGUUUUUUUGGCUGUUAAUUGCGUAGUUUUUAUUUAUUAGGGUUUCCAAGCGGCGAAUUUGUUUUAUUUUUGUUUGUUUUUCUAAUUGUAAUGGUUGGUAUUGAUUGGAGUUUCAAUUCUCUUACUUCCACCAUCCUGAAUUUUCACCUUCUCCAUUCUGAUUAAAGCUAUGUUUUGUUUGAGAUUGUUUUAGUAAUAAAAAGGUGAACUAAAAUCCUGAUUCUUCGGUUGUGCAGAAAUUUUGAGGGGUUUAGUAUUAUUUAGAGCUAGAUUCUUCAAGUUGUGCAGAAUAUGAGGGGUUCAAAUUAUUUAGAGCUAGAUUCUUCAAGUUUUUCUGAAUUCCUCUCUCAGUCCGUCACCUCCGACUGCUCAGCGGCGCCUUUGCGUUAAUUGAUAGCUCCAAUGGCGUUUCGAGGUGUGGGUUUUCAAUUGACAGCAACUAUAAACUCGGAUAAGCAGAGAUUCAUAUUUUGGAAAAGAUAGAUGGCAUUUCCGCUGAAACUAUGUUGUUGUUGUGGGGAGUAUGAGGGAGAGGCACAACAUUGACUCGAAGUACAAAUUCUACUUCGAUGCACUUUCCGAACAGUUUAAUACUGAUGGACAAGGCAGCUCUCCUAGAAAGAGUAGUAGAGCAAGUUAAGGAGCUAAAGAGAAAAAAUGAAAGUUAGCUUUGGUCCUGGUUCCAAGAAUUUCCCAGGGAUUACUUAACUCUGAUGGUUUAGGCCCUAUUUCAUGGUGGGUAUAAUUCCCGAUUACUGAAACUGAUCAUCACAGCAAGAACCAAGCUUAAAAGUUGACAUAAUAACCAGGCCUGAUCAUCGAAGUCAUUCUAACAAUCAAGUCGCAACAAAGCUGCUGAACUUGGUUCCCUGGUGCAAUGUCCAGCUUGGUUACUCACUACUGCCACUAGCCUUCUUUGACACAUGAUGAAUAUACUCCUUGUAACUUCUGCAAGUGAGAAAGAGUUUCAGAGUAUUGUUGAGAGAAACCGUAAGGAGGCAAAAGCAAGCUCAGCUCAUUGAACGUUUGCUAGCUCAUUGACGAUUUCUGUGAAUUGGAGUAUUUCUUAAUUCAAGCUGCUGUUUUCCUAUUUUGUUUUGAAAGUUAACAGAAAAAAUGUAACUUUAUAUAUAUGUUGAUGUUUACAUAUCAAUUUAAGUAGAAAAAAAUGCAAUUUUUUUUUUU